AUUCAGAGACAAGAAGACGGAAGAUAACGACAGUUCAUUGAUCUAUUGAGGAGCGGGGAUAAUCCUAAAUGAGCGGUUCAGUCACAGCGGAUACAGCUGGAGGCGGUGCGCUUAUAAAGGGGCUCAGACGCAACCGGGAAGCUUCAGAACCGCCAAAUGACCCUGGGAGCCAGGACACAGCCAAUGAUAGGGAAAGAAGAAAUAGACCAGGACGUAAAAUACCAAACAACAGGACUGGCUUAUUGGUGACUCCAUGAAGCCCCACAAUCUCACUGAAGUCUAUGCAGAAGUCCUGGAAGAGCCCUCGAGUGAGUCGUGUCUUGCAGGAAACCGAUCAACCUCUAAAGAAGAAGGCAACUUCACCGGUGUGCGACCUCAUCAAUAUCAGCGUGGACAAGGGCCCGCUGCGUGGAGAGGCUUUUUGUUGCAAUUCAUUGUUUGCCUCACGUGUACCAUCGGGUCUGAUAACAGAGACAGGGAUGAGGACGAAUGUUGCACGGGCACAUUGCUCAGCAGACUACCCUCAAGCUCUGUGGAGGAGCUUACCGCUGAGCCACGGGAGGUCUACAGCGCCUCUGGGAUUCAGGGACCUGACCUCAGCCCUGUAACGUGCCAGUCUGCAGGGGUGGAGUCUAAACCCAUCCAAACCAAGUCUCAGGCGGUCCUCAAGAGACUUUUCCCCCUGAAAAACCGUUCAAGAGAGGCAAAACUUCCUCCAGGGCCACGUGCCAAUUCUUUUCAAUUCUCCUUGAGGAAACGGAUGUUCUGCAAGCAAAAGCAAAGACCCAAAAAGCCUUCACCGUUUCUCCAGGAGAGGAUCGGAGGGAGUCAGGAGUACAUUGAGGAGGAGAAUAUAGUCCUGGCCAAUAAACACAUAGGUGGCGUUGCUAUGAACAUGAUGAACCCAGCUCCAUACCUUCAUGAUGCAAUCAAGGAUCCUUGCCCUGAGAUCCUAGCCAUCAGUUUAGAUUUGAGUGCUUUUGAAUUGUGAUGAAAAAUCACAAUGGUGUUGUUUACUUUUCAUCAUUUAAGCUUUGUUCUCUUCAGGUUGUUAAUCUUGCCACUCUAUCUGUUGACUAGUGUUAUCUAGUUCCCCUUUGUUGUCAAACUUUGGCCUGGGGUAAACCGAUCACAAGGAAUAAGUGAUCCCCUCAUCUAUACGAGAACAAGUCAUUUUUUUCUAUAUUUCCCUCACAUGAUGUAAGGACACUUCCAUGUGUGGGAGAGGCGGUGAAACAGUGUUUAAAGGCUGUGUGCGACAAUUUGACCAAAUAUUACUCUGGUUAACCGUGCUCGGCUGGAGAGUCCAGAGCUCUAUACUGAGCUCUGGAUAUACUGAGUUAUUUCAUUAUAUCCAGAGGUAAAAAGAAUCCAGACAGGGAGCCUCAUCUGUCCUAGACCCACCAGCUGUUGAAGGAAUUGCCAAAACAGUGUUCAUUUUGAAACCCAAGGACAGCGUGGCGCCUGGCAGAUCUUUGAAACAUCUGUAGAUCCCAGUGCACCAAAGGGACUUGCGGAAGGCCCCAGUGGAUAGCUAAAGGAUUCGGUUAAGCCAACAUUUCCUGCAGGACCACAGCCCAUCACUGCACAGAAAUGGAUAGGCGAUCAUUUAAAAAGGAUGCAGGACCAACAGAGUUUCAGCAAUGAGUGUACGAGUGACUCCAACAGAAUGGAGCUGGAAGCGUUAGCAGAGAUUUACAGAAAUCCACUGAAAACUAGCAAUGCCGAGGACUUUGGAGACAAUGCUAUGAAAGGCCAUGACCAACAACAAGAAAGGCUGCCGUUGCAAAUGGCAUGCUCAGUUGUACGGGCUGCAAUGGAAGCUGCCCAGAGACAGCUUAGAGAAGAGCGAAUUGCUGAAUAAGUCGUGUAUAGAUGCUAAAUUCUUUAUUGGUGGACAAUUAUUAUAUAAUUAUAAUGUAUUUGUGUGUGAAGUAUAUUAACACAAAUUCCCUUUAGA
ensembl:lncRNA